rfam:Vitis vinifera, whole genome shotgun sequence of line PN40024, unoriented chromosome 17, chr17
GGGUGCGAUCAUACCAGCACUAAUGCACCGGAUCCCAUCAGAACUCCGCAGUUAAGCGUGCUUGGGCGAGAGUAGUACUGGGAUGGGUGACCUCCUGGGAAGUCCUCGUGUUGCACCCC